rnacentral:rRNA from 1 species
GAUGAACGCUGGCGGCGUGCCUAAUACAUGCAAGUCGAGCGAACAGACGAGGAGCUUGCUCCUCUGACGUUAGCGGCGGACGGGUGAGUAACACGUGGAUAACCUACCUAUAAGACUGGGAUAACUUCGGGAAACCGGAGCUAAUACCGGAUAAUAUAUUGAACCGCAUGGUUCAAUAGUGAAAGACGGUUUUGCUGUCACUUAUAGAUGGAUCCGCGCCGCAUUAGCUAGUUGGUAAGGUAACGGCUUACCAAGGCAACGAUGCGUAGCCGACCUGAGAGGGUGAUCGGCCACACUGGAACUGAGACACGGUCCAGACUCCUACGGGAGGCAGCAGUAGGGAAUCUUCCGCAAUGGGCGAAAGCCUGACGGAGCGACGCCGCGUGAGUGAUGAAGGUCUUCGGAUCGUAAAACUCUGUUAUUAGGGAAGAACAAAUGUGUAAGUAACUAUGCACGUCUUGACGGUACCUAAUCAGAAAGCCACGGCUAACUACGU